rnacentral:rRNA from 1 species
GCGUAGCAAUACGUCAGCGGCAGACGGGUGAGUAACGCGUGGGAACGUACCUUUUGGUUCGGAACAACACAGGGAAACUUGUGCUAAUACCGGAUAAGCCCUUACGGGGAAAGAUUUAUCGCCGAAAGAUCGGCCCGCGUCUGAUUAGCUAGUUGGUGAGGUAACGGCUCACCAAGGCGACGAUCAGUAGCUGGUCUGAGAGGAUGAUCAGCCACAUUGGGACUGAGACACGGCCCAAACUCCUACGGGAGGCAGCAGUGGGGAAUAUUGGACAAUGGGCGCAAGCCUGAUCCAGCCAUGCCGCGUGAGUGAUGAAGGCCCUAGGGUUGUAAAGCUCUUUUGUGCGGGAAGAUAAUGACGGUACCGCAAGAAUAAGCCCCGGCUAACUUCGUGCCAGCAGCCGCGGUAAUACGAAGGGGGCUAGCGUUGCUCGGAAUCACUGGGCGUAAAGGGUGCGUAGGCGGGUCUUUAAGUCAGGGGUGAAAUCCUGGAGCUCAACUCCAGAACUGCCUUUGAUACUGAGGAUCUUGAGUUCGGGAGAGGUGAGUGGAACUGCGAGUGUAGAGGUGAAAUUCGUAGAUAUUCGCAAGAACACCAGUGGCGAAGGCGGCUCACUGGCCCGAUACUGACGCUGAGC